rnacentral:rRNA from 1 species
UUAAGCAUAUCAGUAAGCGGAGGAAAAGAAACUAACCAGGAUUCUCCUAGUAACGGCGAGUGAACGGAGAUUUAGCCCAUCACCGAAGUCUAUUCGCUUAUGCGGACAGGACAAUGUGGUGUUAAGGCGUGUACCUGGGGCUGCCAGUCUACCCGAAGUCCAACUCCGAUUGCGGCUUUGGAAUGUGGCCAUAGCGGGUGAAAGACCCGUGCGGGUAGACUAUUUUGUUAUUGGCUAGCUCUCAGAUGUGCACGCUGUCGAGUCGGAUUGCUUGAGAAUGCAGUCCAAAUUGGGUGGUAAACUCCAUCCAAGGCUAAAUACUGGCACGAGUCCGAUAGUAGACAAGUACCGUGAGGGAAAGUUGAAAAGUACUCUGAAGAGAGAGUAAAUAGCACGUGAAACCGUUUGCAGGGAAGCUGGUGGAGUCAAGCUUCAUGCUGGGAGAAUUGUCAUCAGAUGCAUUUUGUGUGCAUUUGUGGCGGUGUGCACGGUCAACUUGGAAUAAGUUGGAUGCGUCUCAGACGUAUUUCAGGUCAUUCUGGGUAGUUUGUCUGUACCGUGCAUGCAUAGUCACGCAUCUGGUGCUGAAUUUUUCAAAGCAUACAUCAUGGUCGAUGGAGUGUGUGUAUGAUGAUCACCGAACAGUGCUCGUGCUGGCUUUUAGCUGGCUGGGCGUUGGAUAGCAGGUUGAGUCAUUAUCUGUAUGGACUAGUGACAUUUAUAUAUCGGUUUCGACCGGCUGGUGAUCAUUGUAUUGCAUCCACAUUAUUGAAUUUGCCAUCUGGUGUGUUAGCCGAAUGGCUGGCUGCCUUGUUGAAUACCCAUGAUGCUGAGGUAGACGUUCCACCAGUCCCGUCUUGA